rnacentral:rRNA from 1 species
CUACGGGUCGCUGCAGUGAGGAAUAUUGCGCAAUGGGGGAAACCCUGACGCAGCGACGCCGCGUGGAUGAUGAAGGCCUUCGGGUCGUAAAAUCCUGUCAGAAGGAAAGAAGUGUAUGGUAGCUAAUAUCUGCCAUACUUGACGGUACCUUCAAAGGAAGCACCGGCUAACUCCGUGCCAGCAGCCGCGGUAAUACGGAGGGUGCAAGCGUUGUUCGGAAUUACUGGGCGUAAAGCGCGCGUAGGAGGGUUUAUAAGUCAGAUGUGAAAGUCCACGGCUCAACCAUGGAAGUGCAUUUGAAACUGUAAGACUUGAGUAUUGGAGGGGGUAGUGGAAUUCCCGGUGUAGAGGUGAAAUUCGUAGAUAUCGGGAGGAAUACCGGUGGCGAAGGCGACUAUCUGGCCAAAUACUGACGCUGAGGUGCGAAAGCGUGGGGAGCAAACAGGAUUAGAUACCCCCGUAGUC